rnacentral:rRNA from 1 species
UACGUAGGGUGCGAGCGUUGUCCGGAAUUAUUGGGCGUAAAGAGCUUGUAGGUGGUUUGUCGCGUCUGCUGUGAAAAUCCGGGGCUCAACCCCGGACUUGCAGUGGGUACGGGCAGACUAGAGUGUGGUAGGGGAGACUGGAAUUCCUGGUGUAGCGGUGGAAUGCGCAGAUAUCAGGAGGAACACCGAUGGCGAAGGCAGGUCUCUGGGCAUUAACUGACGCUGAGGAGCGAAAGCAUGGGGAGCGAACAGG